rnacentral:pre_miRNA from 1 species
UGAAUGCGGUACACCUUUCGGACUCGCCUAUAAAAAAGGAGAUCCCUUACUCCUUUUUAUAGGCGAGUCCGAACGGUGUACCGCAUUCAUUC